CAGACAGUAGUAGUGAAUCGGACUCAGACAGUAGUAGUGAAUCGGACAGACAGCAGUAAUGAAUCAGACACAGACAGUGGUAAUGAAUCGGACAGACAGUGACAGUGGUAAUGAAUCGGACAGACAGUGGUAAUGAACCGGACAGUCAGUGGUAGUGAAUCAGACAGACAGUGGUAGUGAAUCGGACAGACAGUGGUAAUGAAUCGGACAGACGGUAGUAGUGAAUCGGACAGACGGUAGUAGUGAAUCGGACAGACGGUAGUAAUGAAUCGGACACAGACAGUAGUAAUGAAUCGGACAGACAGUAUAGUAAUGAAUCGGACACAGACAGUAGUAAUGAAUCAGACAGACGAGUCGCGAGGACACAAACAUUAUUAAGAUUUAGAACUUCGACACUACACAGUGUUAUUGUAUACUAAGUCUAUAAAACGGGUCAAUUAAAAGUUUAGAAUGUAAAAGUUAGGCAUGAGUAAGUAAGUUUACUGGGAUUUAACCUUAACAUUUGAAUAAGUCACGUUUUUAAAAACAUAUUGCAGAAUAAUAACUAGCUAAUACCUGCUAAGCUAACAUGUAAACAACUCGGUUCAUCCUACCUCGGUUCCGACAGGCUCCGCCUCCUAAGAGAUGAUUAGCCAAUAGGAUCGCGUCUGCUUUAACCGUGGAUGUAAAACUAACCAAUCAGAGGAUUGUUUGGGUUAACGAGUAGCCAUUCCCUGCAGGGCUUGAGGGAUUGCCUGAAUACGGGUGGAGAAGGCUACCUACAUUUCCCGAAAUUACGCAUUUAACGAGUCUGGAUAAAUUCUCCGCUUUUCUUCUGCAACUCGAAAACCGAGCGUUUGCUAAAAUAAUCAAAUGUGUGACGCUAAUGUGGGAGAAAAUACCGUUUCCGUCGACUGAAAGUCAUCUUGCUAAAAUGCUAAAUGCUAAAAACAGCUAGCACCUGUGGCUAAUCUUGUCAUCCGAAACCAUAAUAAACUCCAGCAGCGGUUUCAGCUUUAAUAACUCCACAUCACACUCCAGAUAAUAACACAGUGUGU
ensembl:lncRNA